CGAUAUACCGAUUCCGUAUGGAUACGUGUAAAGGCCGAUUGAGCACAUGCACAGCUACGUUAGAACUCCAAAAUAAUGACCAAAGCAUAUACUACCGGCUGUACUAUAGAUCAAAAAAUUUUAUAUGGUACACGGUAAGAUUUUUAAAUAUAAAGAGUUUUGUUUAGAUUAAAUUUUGUAUAGUAGAAUGAGAAUGAUUCGCUGGUACUAGACUGAUUUUUUAAUUUUCGGCUUUCAUAUGUGAUAUAUAUAUUUGGCUUCUAACCAAUUUUAAAAUACAAAAUUAUCUUUCUACCAUAUUUUUUUUGCCAUUAAUUUCUUACAUUAAUAUAUUAGUUCCUAGAGGAGAUCAACUUUUUAGGUAACACUCCUAACAAACUUUUGGACCUUAAAAUCACAUUUCUAUUUUUGUCGCUAUAGCAGAAGCUUCAAACUAUUUUAGAUGCCAAAUGCUCCAGUACAGGUAACUAACUAUAAGGGCGCGUUUGGUUCGAGUUAUGUAAUAUUACAGAGCAUUUCGAUAUAUUCAGGUAUCUUAGAUUUCUAAAUGAGAUUACUAUUGAUGUUGUAUAAGCGCGUUUAGUUUAAUACAGUAAUCUAAUGCUGGAUUGCAGUGUUUAUAGUACUAUUAUGUUUGGUUCUGUUUAUAAAAUUGAGUAAUUUAGAGAAUAAAGUAAAAUCUAUUCCAAAAUUGCCCUUAGCCAUAUUUCGCCAAUCUUUUUUUUUUAGUGUUUACAAAUAAUAUUUUUUUACUAAAUUUUAUUUUAAAUAAUUUAAUUUUUUAAAUUUAAAUUUUAAAUUUUAAAUUUGAACAAAAAUAAAAAUUUAUUAUUUUAAUUUAAAAUAUAAAUAUGAAAUUUAUAAAUUUAAAAUCUAAAAUAUAAAUAUAAAAUUAAAAAUCUAAAUUUAAAAUUUAGAAUUUAAACUACAAAUUUGAAAUUUGAAAUUUGAAAUUUAAAAUUUAAAAUUUGAAAUUUAAAAAUUAAAAAUUAAAAUUUGAAAAAUAAUAAUUAAAAUUCAAAAUUUAAAAGUUGACCGUUCAAAAUUUUAAAUUAAUUUUUUUAAAAUGACGUAUUGAAAGGGUUUCGGGAGUUAGAGGGGUAAAAUUGUCAUUUUAUAUAUUAUGCAGUAUUACUGGCUUUCAGUAAUCCAAGAUACACACCCCUCUCUCGAUAAUAUUUUUAGUGUAAUCCUGCAUCUUUGUAAUGCUACAUUAAUGACUCGACUACAUACCAAAUGAACCAAACACGAUAAUUCUGACAGGAUUGCCUGUAAUCUUGCCAGGAUAACUCGAACCAAACGCACACAGAAUUAUCUAUAAUCCUGCCAGGAUAAUCCGAACCAAACGCAUCCUAAACGAAAGCAUAAGCGAAAGCGGGGCCAAACAUACCAUUUAAUUUAUAGCAAGAAAAAAAGAAAUAUAAAGUUAACAAGCUGCAUCAAAGUUAGAGAGAGGUUGAGGAAAUCAAACCAAGUGGUGGUAACUUGACAUGGAUGAUGACUUACUGCUUAAUGACAACACAAACUUCUUAGGGUGAGGAACUGAGAAUGCAAAGUUGGAGAGCAUGUCCAAAGGAUGAGUAAUAAGAAGAAGAAGAUGAUGAUGAUGAUGAUAAAAAUAAGGAGAGAAGCAAAAUAUUGGGAACUAUUAAUAUUACUGGAUCUUGGUGUUAUCUUAAAAAUUAUUAUAUUGAGGAGAUUUGGUACCUAUCUUUUUCUUGUUUGUUUUCUUGUUUUUUUCUCUUUGGUUAAUGCUGAGUGGUGGUACUGGUACAUACAUGUCAAUUUGAGAUUGAGCCACAGUGAUCAUUUAGCAAGGGAAAAACCCUGGUACAAGUAAAGGUACCAUUAAGCAAGUGUUCUCAGCAAAAAGAACCAAAAAACAAAAAAAAAAUUGUAAAAAAUGGUGCCAUUAGGGAGUUCCCUCUCAUUGUUCAAAGCAUGCGUUCUCACCCCCACAAAAGAAAAAAAAAAAAAAACAAAACAAAACAAAACCAAAAGGUUCAUUGAGCAAGUUCUCCAAUGAGAGUAAAUUGGCCUUGUUCACACUCAUUUUGGGGACGCUGAAAUGUGAGCGAAUCAACACAAAACACGUGGCGUGAUAUCUGGAGAAAGCUACAGUUGUUGACUUGUUGUUGAUUUGAUUUAGGAAAUAUAAAAGGAGAGAAAAAAAAAAAAUCAGAAUCUGUAAUCUUAGCAGUAGGCGAAACUUAGCUUUGAAAUAGCGAUAACAUAAAAACCAUCGUGCGAAAAGAGCUACCACCUCGAUGGCCUUCGAUGACGUCUAUGUGAUAUAAUUGUUAUACUCUAAAAAUUUAAACUGUGGCCUCGAGACUUUUUACAAGAUCCAUAACGUAAAUUUAAAUUAAAUAGAAGGAAAUUAAUUAUGCUAGAGAUCUGACAUCUGACAUAACUUGAACUCAGAACCUCCUGCUUUGAUACGAUGCGAAACAACCGUUGUACCUUAAAAAUUUAAACGGUUAAAAAACGGUAUUUAUAUAAUUUUAUAUUUAACAGCCUUACCGGAGAACUCACAUCCACGCUGUUGUUUGCUCCAAAAACCGCCUCCAUCUGGAUCAACAGUCAAGACUGAAAGGGCCAAAUGCAUAUUGGUUUGGUUAGUAUCUAGAGAAAUGAUUCGGUACUUUUUUUAAAAAAAAAUAAAAAAAAUCUUAACCGUUGAUUAAUAAAGGGUAAAAAUGUAAUUUUAAUACUUAGCAGGUAAAAAAAUUAUUUUAUUCAAGGUUAGUUUGGUAAUUAAACAAUACAACAUUUAAAGAAACUUUCAAUUGAGGUCCUAAAUUUACGCACUAAUUAGCACUAAUUUAGGAAAUUAAUUGAUUAACCAAAUUUAUGCAAUUAUUAGGCAUUAAUUUAGACAUCUACUUUAAAUGUUUUAGUGUUUCUAAAAUUAUGCAUUAAUUUAAAUUAUAGAAAUUUUAGAAAUAGUUUUAUUUCUAAAUACGAUGAAUUUAAAUUUUAAAAAUUAAGUACUUAAAAUUUAAAAGUGAAAUUUAAAUUAGAGGAAUUUCAUAUUAUCUCUAUUCGGAAGUUUAAAAUAAUGUUUUAGAAACAAUUAUCUCUAUUCCGAAUAGAGAUAAUAGUUUUAAAUUAGUGUUUCUAGUUAAAAUAAAAAAAAUUUGACAAAUAAAGAGAAAACACUAAAACACUAAGUUAAUGUUUCUAGUCAACAUAUUUAAUAUGUUUNNNNNNNNNNNNNNNNNNNNNNNNNCGGCCUAGCGGAUCCAUCUUUUUAAUCAUUAGUUAGUUAUGGAUUCACAGAUACAUAUAUAUUAUAUAUCUAUAUUUGCAUAAAAUCUUAAUCUUAUCAAGAUGUUUUCUUCUCUUCAAUAAAAUUAAGUAACUCUCAAAAUACUCAUACAUUAUCCAAGACUAGAAUCACAAUUCCAAGUAAAAGAUCUUAUCUCUAUAUAGAUAUAUUUCACAUAUUUUCAAUUAGAUUCUCUAAUUCCUAAUUAGAGAUAAUAUCACUCCUCACAUAUUUAAUUAGAUCUCUAUCAUCUUUUUAAUCUUAUUUUCAAUAAGGUUACUUUACUAAUAAAUUAAUUCCUCACUCUUAAAUACACUUCCAUGAUCUAAAUAUCCGGUAUCCCUCAACACUCUCAUUAGAGUGGGAUAAAUUUAACUUUCGAGGCCGCUCAAGUGUCAGAACUGAUACUGAGAUCCUAAUCUGACAUCUGGGAACUCACUUACAGUUGAAUACCGACAGCGAAUGAAUUAACAUCCUAAUUUCACACUGAUCAAGCGCCAGCUUCUAUUUUCACUCAGCUUUGACACUAAACUCUCAUGUACUGAAAUGACUCGUCAUCCAAACGGAUUCCCAGGUGCACGACAAUUCUAUGUGUGUCGACCGCAUAGGUUAUACCAUCGGCAGUGGAAUCAACAUAAACUGUUUGAUAUUUUAAUUAUAACUCUUCUAAUCGACAAUCCAAACAAUUCAAUUCAGUUAUCUCAUAGUGUCUGCUCGGCCGUCCCCGUAGUGACCCGACUGUGCUGUAUAGAAUGGAAUUCUAAAUUAAUUAAGGUGGUCAUGCACCUUAAUUAAUUGGAUCCAUGAUAGCUAUUGAUCUAUAUACAUAUAGAAAUCAAUCUCUCUCCGAUCUCUCUUCUGCGCGCGUGUUUCUUUCCGAUCAACUUCUCUAUUCUUCAUCGACUGAAAGAUCAUGAAGUGAUUGCUAGCACCGUCCAGAUGGUCCGUGACUCAUCCGGUUCGUGAGACGAAGAUAGAUCGGGUAUGCGCCGAUUCCGUGUGGAUACGCGUAGAGGCCGGGCAUGUGCACGGCUAAUCGGAAUCUCUGUUCGUCAUAUUCAGUUUCAACCGUACAGUAGAUCAAGAGACCUUAACUGGUCCACGGUAAGAUUUCUAAACAUAAAGAGUUUUUUGUUUAGAUUAAUUUUUUGCAUAGUAACAUGAGAAUGAUCCGCCGGCAACGGUUUGAUUUAUUGGUUUUCGGUUUUCAUAUGUGAUAUGUAUUUAGCUUCCGAAAAAUUUUAAAAGUGCAAAAUUAUUUUCCGCUGCGUUUUUCUGAUGUGCCGGUUAUUUUCUAACACCUCGAUGGCCUUCGAUGACGUCUAUGUGAAACAAUCGUUAUACUCUAAAAAUUUAAAUUGAACUAAAAUAGUUUUAGAAUGAAUGACUAUUUGAAAAAUGGAAUGUCACAGCUAGUAUCAGAGCAAAUCACCAGUCGGAAAUGUAAGAUGAGUCUUGAUUGAGUAAGGAUUAUACAACGGGUAGAGCGUGACUCUCAACUAAUUACUACUGUGGGUGGAACGCGACUCUCCACAAGAUCGGCUAAAGACUAACGAGACGAGUCUCACAUCUCGUCUCGCAUCACCUGAUGUCGAAUUUGAAAUAGUUAUAUAUAUAAAAUAUAAUAUGACUAAAUCUCUUAACCCGAUUGUAAUAUUUUGGAUAAUGGUUAGAUCCAAAAAAUUAAGAAAGUUAAGCGUAAUAGGACUAAAGUAGUUUUAGAAUGGAUGAU
rnacentral:lncRNA from 1 species